AUUGAACGCUGGCGGCAGGCCUAACACAUGCAAGUCGAACGCGUGGCGGACGGGUGAGUAAUGUUUGGGAAACUGGCUGAUGGAGGGGGAUAACUACUGGAAACGGUAGCUAAUACCGCAUACCAUCGGAUGUGCCCAGGUGGGAUUAGCUAGUAGGUGGGGUAAAGGCUCACCAAGACGACGAUCCCUAGCUGGUCUGAGAGGAUGACCAGCAACACGGGAACGGAGACACGGUCCAGAAUCCUACGGGAGGCAGCAGUGGGGAAGAGUGCUCAAUGGGCGCAAGCCUGACGCAGCCAUGCCGCGUGAAUGAAGAAGGCCUUCGGGUUGUAAAGUACUUUCAGCGGGGAGGCGUUACCUACAGAAGAAGCACCGGCUAACUCCGUGCCAGCAGCCGCGGUAAUAC
rnacentral:rRNA from 1 species